rnacentral:rRNA from 1 species
AGUGAACGCUGGCGGUAGGCCUAACACAUGCAAGUCGAACGGCAGCACAGUAAGAGCUUGCUCUUACGGGUGGCGAGUGGCGGACGGGUGAGGAAUACAUCGGAAUCUACUUUUUCGUGGGGGAUAACGUAGGGAAACUUACGCUAAUACCGCAUACGACCUACGGGUGAAAGCAGGGGAUCUUCGGACCUUGCGCGAUUGAAUGAGCCGAUGUCGGAUUAGCUAGUUGGCGGGGUAAAGGCCCACCAAGGCGACGAUCCGUAGCUGGUCUGAGAGGAUGAUCAGCCACACUGGAACUGAGACACGGUCCAGACUCCUACGGGAGGCAGCAGUGGGGAAUAUUGGACAAAGGGCGCAAGCCUGAUCCAGCCAUACCGCGUGGGUGAAGAAGGCCUUCGGGUUGUAAAGCCCUUUUGUUGGGAAAGAAAAGCAGCAGGUUAAUACCCCGCUGUUCUGACGGUACCCAAAGAAUAAGCACCGGCUAACUUCGCG